rnacentral:rRNA from 1 species
CUACGGGGCGCAGCAGUGGGGAAUAUUGGACAAUGGGGGAAACCCUGAUCCAGCAAUGCCGCGUGUGUGAAGAAGGCCUGCGGGUUGUAAAGCACUUUCGGUUGGGAGGACUGCUUCUAGCACUAAUAUUGUUGGAAGUUGACGUUACCUUCAGAAGAAGCACCGGCUAACUCCGUGCUAGCAGCCGCGGUAAUACGGAGGGUGCAAGCGUUAAUCGGAAUUACUGGGCGUAAAGCGCGCGUAGGCGGCUAGAUCAGUCGGGUGUGAAAGCCCCGGGCUUAACCUGGGAACUGCAUCCGAUACUGUCUAGCUUGAGUACAGGAGAGGAGAGUGGAAUUCCACAUGUAGCGGUGAAAUGCGUAGAUAUGUGGAGGAACACCAAUGGCGAAGGCAGCUCUCUGGCCUGAUACUGACGCUGAGGUGCGGAAGCGUGGGGAGCAAACAGGAUUAGAUACCCGGGUAGUC